rnacentral:rRNA from 1 species
CAGUAGCCACGGUAAUACGAAGGGUGCAAGCGUUAAUCGGAAUUACUGGGCGUAAAGCGCGCGUAGGCGGCUUUUUAAGUCAGAGGUGAAAGCCCGGGGCUCAACCCCGGAAUUGCCUUUGAAACUGGAAAGCUAGAAUCUUGGAGAGGUCAGUGGAAUUCCGAGUGUAGAGGUGAAAUUCGUAGAUAUUCGGAAGAACACCAGUGGCGAAGGCGACUGACUGGACAAGUAUUGACGCUGAGGUGCGGAAGCGUGGGGAGCAAACAGGAUUAGAUACCCCGGUAGUCCCUGUCUCUUAUAC